GAGGAAACUUGUGCUAAUACCGGAUAAGUCUUUACAGAGAAAGCUUUAUGCACCAUUGGAUGAGCCUGCACUUGAUUAGUUUGUUGGUGGGGUAAUGGCCUACCAAGACUGUGAUCAAUAGCUGAUUUGAGAGGAUGAUCAGCCACAUUGGGACUGAGACACGGCCCAAACUCCUACGGGAGGCAGCAGUGGGGAAUCUUGCACAAUGGAGGAAACUCUGAUGCAGCGAUGCCGCGUGAGUGAAGAAGGCCUUUGGGUUGUAAAGCUCUUUCGUCGUUUAAGAA
rnacentral:rRNA from 1 species